AUUGAACGCUGGCGGCAUGCCUUACACAUGCAAGUCGAACGGUAACGGGCCUUCGGGUGCCGACGAGUGGCGAACGGGUGAGUAAUACAUCGGAACGUGCCCGAUCGUGGGGGAUAACGAGGCGAAAGCUUUGCUAAUACCGCAUACGAUCUACGGAUGAAAGCAGGGGACCGCAAGGCCUUGCGCGGACGGAGCGGCCGAUGGCAGAUUAGGUAGUUGGUGGGAUAAAAGCUUACCAAGCCGACGAUCUGUAGCUGGUCUGAGAGGAUGAUCAGCCACACUGGGACUGAGACACGGCCCAGACUCCUACGGGAGGCAGCAGUGGGGAAUUUUGGACAAAGGGCGCAAGCCUGAUCCAGCCAUGCCGCGUGCAGGAUGAAGGCCUUCGGGUUGUAAACUGCUUUUGUAUGGAACGAAAAGCCUUCUUUUAAUACAGGAGGGUCAUGACGGUACCGUAAGAAUAAGCACCGGCUAACUACGUG
rnacentral:rRNA from 1 species